rnacentral:tRNA from 1 species
GCCGACGUGGUGAAAUUGGUAGACACGCUAUCUUGAGGGGGUAGUUCCUUAGGGUGUGCCGGUUCGAGUCCGGCCGUCGGCACCA